rnacentral:rRNA from 1 species
GAUGAACGCUGGCGGCGUGCCUAAUACAUGCAAGUCGAGCGAAUGGAUUGAGAGCUUGCUCUUAUGAAGUUAGCGGCGGACGGGUGAGUAACACGUGGGUAACCUGCCCAUAAGACUGGGAUAACUCCGGGAAACCGGGGCUGGUACCGGAUAACAUUUUGAACCGCAUGGAUCGAAAUUGAAAGGCGGCUUCGGCUGUCACUUAUGGAUGGACCCGCGUCGCAUUAGCUGGUUGGUGAGGUAACGGCUCACCAAGGCAACGAUGCGUAGCCGACCUGAGAGGGUGAUCGGCCACACUGGGACUGAGACACGGCCCAGACUCCUACGGGAGGCAGCAGUAGGGAAUCUUCCGCAAUGGACGAAAGUCUGACGGAGCAACGCCGCGUGAGUGAUGAAGGCUUUCGGGUCGUAAAACUCUGUUGUUAGGGAAGAACAAGUGCUGGUUGAAUAAGCUGGCACCUUGACGGUACCUAACCAGAAAGCCACGGCUAACUACGUGCCAGCCGCCGCAGUAA